rnacentral:rRNA from 1 species
GUGCCAGCAGCCGCGGUAAUACAGAGGCCUCGAGCGUUGUUCGGAAUUACUGGGCGUAAAGGGAAUGUAGGUGGUCAUGUAAGUCAGAUGUGAAAGCCCUGGGCUUAACCCGGGAAGUGCAUUUGAUACUGUGUGGCUAGAGUGCGAGAGAGGAAGGCGGAAUUCCAGGUGUAGGGGUGAAAUCCGUAGAUAUCUGGAGGAAUACCGAUGGCGAAGGCAGCCUUCUGGCUCGUAACUGACACUGAGAUUCGAAAGCGUGGGUAGCAAACAGGAUUAGAUACCCUGGUAGUCC